CAGCAGCCACGGUAAUACGUAGGGUGCGAGCGUUAAUCGGAUUUACUGGGCGUAAAGCGUGCGUAGGCGGCUUCUUAAGUCGGAUGUGAAAUCCCUGAGCUUAACUUAGGAAUUGCAUUCGAUACUGGGAAGCUAGAGUAUGGGAGAGGAUGGUAGAAUUCCAGGUGUAGCGGUGAAAUGCGUAGAGAUCUGGAGGAAUACCGAUGGCGAAGGCAGCCAUCUGGCCUAAUACUGACGCUGAGGUACGAAAGCAUGGGGAGCAAACAGGAUUAGAUACCCCCGUAGUCCCUGUCUCUUAUAC
rnacentral:rRNA from 1 species